AUUGAACGCUGGCGGCAGGCCUAACACAUGCAAGUCGAGCGGCGCAGCGGACGGGUGAGUGAUGCCUAGGAAUGGGCCUGGUAGUGGGGGAUGACGUCAGGAAACGGGCGCUAAUACCGCAUACUCUCAGCUGAGCCUAGGUCGGAUUAGCUAGUAGGUGGGGUAAAGGCCUACCAAGGCGACGAUCCGUAUCUGGUCUGAGAGGAUGAGCAGUCACACUGGAACUGAGACACGGUCCAGACUCCUACGGGAGGCAGCAGUGGGGAAUAUUGGACAAUGGGCGAAAGCCUGAUGCAGCCAUGCCGCGUGUGUGAAGAAGGCCUUCGGAUUGUAAAGUACUUUAAGUUGGGAGGCGUUACCAGCAGAAGAAGCACCGGCUAACUCCGUGCCAGCAGCCGCGGUAAUUC
rnacentral:rRNA from 1 species